UUGGGAUCGCUUUAUUGUCUCACCAAAAAUACAUAUUCUGAUAAGGCCUAUCACACAUUGCCCAUGUACCAAAGAAGCAAAUGAAGGCUCACGUGCAGCUAGCAAAGUACUAACACUCUAAAACCAGGCAGUCCUACUUUAAGGAGAAAGAGGAAUCAUCUGCCAAGAUCCUCUCUCGCCCCCUGAGCAGGAGAGCAGCUUACCAGUGAUUCGUUCAAGGGAGGUGAACCUGUGAACGGGUCUUCUGCAAGUACAUGUAGACGACACAAUGCUGUAUCUACGUGGAGAUUACCUCUACAAACUGUAUGUCUCACCCUGAUCCUCCAUAAAUGGCCGUUGGAAGAAGACUGUCAGGGACACUGACUUCCCAACAGUCGACUGGAAAUAAGGAGCUGGGUGGAAGACAGAGAAGAUGAAUCAGGGAUGCUACAGCAAGAGGUGCCUGCAACAUUUCAGCACCAUUUUGAAGUCAGGUGGAAUGGAGUGAAUCCAAAAUGUGAGGCGAGAUAUGGUGACGUUGACUCAUUAGUCCCAGGCAUCCCCAGGUCCCCCCCCAGGUUUUCAGGAUGCUUGCCAAGCAGAAUGGAGCUGCUUACCAGAUUUGCCUAUCCAAAAGGCUUCUAAUCUUCGGCAGAAAUGUACAGUCAUCC